rnacentral:rRNA from 1 species
UGCGUAGGCCGCUAGGUGUGUCAGGUGUGAAAUCUCGGGGCUUAACCUCGAAACUGCGCCUGAAACUACCUAGCUUGAGUAUUGGAGAGGUAAGCGGAAUUUCUGGUGUAGCGGUGAAAUGCGUAGAUAUCAGAAGGAACACCAAUGGCGAAGGCAGCUUACUGGACAAUAACUGACGCUGAGGCACGAAAGCGUGGGUAGCGAAAG